rnacentral:rRNA from 1 species
UACGGAGGGUGCGAGCGUUAAUCGGAAUUACUGGGCGUAAAGCGCGCGUAGGCGGUUCGAUAAGUCGGGUGUGAAAGCCCUGGGCUCAACCUGGGAAUUGCAUUCGAUACUGUCGAGCUAGAGUGUGGUAGAGGGAAGUGGAAUUUCCGGUGUAGCGGUGAAAUGCGUAGAUAUUGGGAGGAACACCAGUGGCGAAGGCGGCUCGCUGGACCGGAACUGACGCUGAGGCGCGAAAGCGUGGGGAGCAAACAGG